rnacentral:rRNA from 1 species
AAUGAACGCUGGCGGCGUGGAUAAGACAUGCAAGUCGAACGGAGUUAGCAAUAAGCUUGCUUAAGGCAAACUCGGUGGCGAACGGGUGAGUAACACGUGAAUAAUCUGCCUUGAAGUGGGGGAUAGCCCUGGGAAACUAGGAUUAAUACCGCAUGUGGUCGAGAGACUAAAGCAGCAAUGCGCUUUAAGAUGAGUUCGCGUCCUAUUAGCUAGUUGGUGAGGUAACUGCUCACCAAGGCCUUGAUAGGUAGCCGGUCUGAGAGGAUGUCCGGCCACACUGGAACUGAGACACGGUCCAGACACCUACGGGUGGCAGCAGUCGAGAAUCAUUCACAAUGGGGGCAACCCUGAUGGCGCGACGCCGCGUGGGGGAAGAAUGUCUUCGGAUUGUAAACCCCUGUCAUGUGGGAGUAAGCUAGUGAUAGUUGAUAGUACCACAAGAGGAAGAGACGGCAAACUCUGUGCCAGCCGCCGCGGUAA